UACGUAGGGACCGAGCGUUGUCCGGAAUCAUUGGGCGUAAAGAGCGUGUAGGCGGCUACUUAAGUCCUGCGUGAAAUCCUGCGGCUCAACCGCAGGCGGUCGUGGGAAACUGGGUGGCUAGAGUGCGGGAGAGGAGAGUGGAAUUCCUGGUGUAGCGGUGGAAUGCGCAGAUAUCAGGAGGAACACCGGUGGCGAAGGCGGGUCUCUGGGCAUGUCCUGACGCUGAGGAGCGAAAGUGUGGGGAGCGAACAGG
rnacentral:rRNA from 1 species